rnacentral:rRNA from 1 species
UUAGGAAUCUUCCACAAUGGGCGAAAGCCUGAUGGAUCGACGCCGCGUGAGGGAUGAAGGCCUUAGGGUUGUAAACCUCUAAAAGAGGGACGAUAAUGACGGUACCUCUUUAAUAUCACCGGCUAACUCCGUGCCAGCAGCCGCGGUAAUACGGAGGGUGCAAGCGUUAUCCGGAAUCACUGGGCGUAAAGGGCGCGUAGGCGGUCUGUUAAGUCCGAUGUUAAAUCCCGGGGCUCAACCCCGGAUAAGCGUUGGAUACUGGCAGGCUAGACGGUUGGAGAGGCGAGUGGAAUUACCAGUGUAGCGGUGGAAUGCGUAGAUACUGGUAGGAACACCCAUUGCGAAGGCAGCUCGCUGGACAACACGUGACGAUGAGGCGCGAAAGUGUGGGGAGCAAACC